rnacentral:rRNA from 1 species
ACGAACGCUGGCGGCAGGCUUAACACAUGCAAGUCGAGCGAGAUCUUCGGGUCUAGCGGCGGACGGGUGAGUAACGCGUGGGAACGUGCCCUUUGCUACGGAAUAGUCCUGGGAAACUGGGGGUAAUACCGUAUACGCCCUUUUGGGGAAAGAUUUAUCGGCGAAGGAUCGGCCCGCGUUGGAUUAGGUAGUUGGUGGGGUAAUGGCCUACCAAGCCGACGAUCCAUAGCUGGUUUGAGAGGAUGAUCAGCCACACUGGGACUGAGACACGGCCCAGACUCCUACGGGAGGCAGCAGUGGGGAAUCUUAGACAAUGGGGGCAACCCUGAUCUAGCCAUGCCGCGUGAGUGAUGAAGGCCUUAGGGUUGUAAAGCUCUUUCAGCUGGGAAGAUAAUGACGGUACCAGCAGAAGAAGCCCCGGCUAACUCCGU